GAGACACCUCUGGGGAGCCCCUUGGUAGGGGUACAAAGAUCGUUCUCUAUCUUAAGGAGGACCAGCUUGAGUAUCUUGAGGAGCGCUGCCUCAAGGAUUUGGUCAAGAAGCACUCUGAGUUCAUCAGCUACCCAAUCUCCCUCUGGAUUGAGAAGACUACUGAGAAGGAGAUUUCUGAUGACGAGGAUGAAGAAGAAAAAAAGGAUGAGGAAGGAAAGGUAGAGGAUGUUGAUGAAGAGAAGGAGAAGGAAGAGAAGAAAAAGAAGAAGAUCAAGGAGGUGUCCCACGAGUGGUCUUUGGUGAACAAGCAGAAACCCAUCUGGAUGAGGAAGCCUGAUGAGAUUACCAAGGAGGAGUAUGCUGCUUUCUACAAGAGCCUUACCAAUGACUGGGAGGAGCACUUGGCUGUCAAGCACUUUUCAGUUGAGGGACAGCUUGAGUUCAAGGCCAUCCUCUUUGUUCCCAAGAGGGCUCCUUUUGAUCUCUUUGACACGAAGAAGAAGCCCAACAACAUCAAGCUCUAUGUCCGUCGUGUAUUCAUCAUGGACAACUGUGAGGAUUUGAUUCCCGAGUACCUUAGCUUUGUCAAGGGUAUUGUGGAUUCGGAGGAUCUUCCUCUCAACAUCUCCAGAGAAAUGUUGCAGCAAAACAAGAUCCUCAAAGUCAUCCGCAAGAACUUGGUGAAGAAAUGCCUCGAGCUCUUCUUUGAGAUUGCUGAAAACAAGGAAGAUUACAACAAGUUUUACGAGUCCUUCUCUAAGAACCUCAAGCUUGGUAUCCAUGAGGAUUCCUCGAACAAGUCAAAGCUUGCUGAGUUGCUCAGAUAUCACUCUACUAAGAGUGGUGACGAGCUGACUAGCUUGAAAGACUAUGUGACAAGGAUGAAGGAGGGCCAGAGUGACAUUUACUACAUCACUGGUGAGAGCAAGAAGGCUGUUGAGAACUCACCGUUCCUUGAGAAGUUGAAGAAGAAGGGCUAUGAAGUUCUCUACAUGGUCGACGCCAUUGAUGAGUACGCCGUGGGCCAACUCAAGGAAUUUGAGGGCAAGA
rnacentral:lncRNA from 1 species